rnacentral:rRNA from 1 species
UACAGGGGGUGCAAACGUUGCUCGGAAUCAUUGGGCGUAAAGCGCACGUAGGCGGUUCGUUAUGUCGGAUGUGAAAGCCCUUGGCUUAACCGAGGAAGUGCAUCCGAAACUGGCGAGCUAGAGUACGAAAGAGGAUCGCGGAAUUCCCGGUUUAGAGGUGAAAUUCGUAGAUAUCGGGAGGAACACCGGUGGCGAAGGCGGCGAUCUGGGUCGAUACUGACGCUGAGGUGCGAAAGCGUGGGGAGCAAACAGG